NNNNNNNNNNNNNNNNNNNNNNNNNNNNNNNNNNNNNNNNNNNNNNNNNNNNNNCCGCGCCCGCUGAGCCGUUCUCCGCGCGGCCAGAAAGCUCGCAGCGACCCUGCUGGAACCUGCCGGUGGCGCUUCUAGCACCGGGAAGAAAGGUCAGGAAAGCGGCGGAGCCCGACCUGGGUCCAUGCGGCGACCCAAAGGAAGGACGGGGGACACCUGCGUCCAAACAGGCCCCUGGGCCCCACCUCACUUGGCUGGGAGAUCCUCGGCUGGCCAUGGGGCCGCGAGCCACGGGCGGACUGGAGGAACUCGGACGUCCAGCUGUCCCACAGUGAACACGCUUCUCCACGCACGCAGUGACAAGGACAUGUGCAUAUAACCAAAGGGGGCCGCUUCUUACAGGAAGGACAGCAUAAAGCACUGCCCUGUACCUGCGUGGCCCUUUGCUCCUGCUCUAGUCCCCGAGGGCGUUCUGCAGUUUAAAACAGCAUUAGCAGAGCUUACUAUAUCCCAGGCGCGUUUAGUCCAGUUAACGGCAAAGGCUAGAAGCCAUAUAAAACUUUUAAGAAAUGGAGGCUUAACUCCCUCUUUCUCUGCCUUCGUUCGUCCAGAGGACUUCCAUGGCGAUCAUGGACUGCGUGGAUGUCCAGCUUUGAGCUCCGCAGUUACAUCUGCUUCCAAACGCAAACACACUGAAAGGGCGGCCCCAUCCUCGGUGGCCAUAGGCACCACUGAGCUCACCGGGUCUCUGCCAGAGCUCCCUCCUGGCAUCACGUCACACCACCAUCACUACAGACAUACAAGGUUUGUCUCCUUGUCCCCGUUGUCCCACACCCAAGCGGAGGAGAGACAGGACGCAACACAUCACCAGUUUCUAGACAGCGUCUCUACACGUGUUCCAGCAAACAGAGCAGAAAACCGGACCAUCGGAUGAAUUGUGGAACCCAAUCUUUAGAAGCCGCAGAUUACCGAAAACAGAGAUGUCUUUGGCAACAAGGCCAUGUGGGCUUGUCCAAGCACUAAAUUUCAUCACGAUCCUGCCUGGACCGUGAGCCCAUUUGUGAGGGACAAGAAGCCUCACUCCCCGCAGAACAAUUUCCGGCCGAGGGGUUCUCUGGUCUCAAGGAGAAGGAUUCGACACGUAGACAAUAAAGUAAAAUAUUUUACUUAUUUAUUUGAGAGACAAGAAUCCAAGCUGGGGAGAGAGGUAGAGGCAGAGGGAGAAGCAGACUCCCUGCUGAAGAGAUUCCCAACCCGGGACUUGAUCCCAGGAUUCUGGAAUCACAACCCGAGCCGACGGCAGACGCUUAGCUGACCGAGCCCCCCAGGCACCCCUGCACGAGAAUUCUUAGCACAGGAAGGUAAGACGGUCACUUCUGGGUGACCAGUCAGCUCAUUGGGUAGAAUGUGCCCUUAACAGAUUGGGUCUCUGUGGAGCCGGCAGCUCAGUGCCAUGGCCAUGGUUCACCCCUUCACAUCCGAGCUGGGAAUUCUGCAAACGUGGCUGUGGCCACAAGACGGGGCGGUGGUGGGGAGAGGGCCUCUGAGAGCACGGCUUCUCCUAGAAACCAGCCUCAGGCCCCCGGGGAGUCACAAGUACGGCUGGGUUGACCCACCCCAUUCCAAGUUCCGGAAGGGUAGGGCGGGUGCAGCCGUGUCCAUUCAGAGGCCUGGGCAGGUGUAUUGCCCGAGAACACCCAGAAUUCCCAAAGAAAGGUGCUCUGUGGAAGAAACAGUCUCCUGAGGUCCAGAGAAGGAGCAUGAAUUAACGAGCGUUAGAGAAGAGUGAAUUUUGUGUUCUGAUCACUCUGGAAGGAUCUCUAACUCAUCAGGGCUCAUGGCGUACAUGGGGCUCGAGCACGACACACAGUGUUCCAUGUCCACACCCACAGCACCAAGGUCUGAAGAAGAGGCAAAGCCAGUCCUGCUUCCACGCUGUGAGUCUCUGGGCUCUCCCCUUCCCCGCCUUCAUCAUGUCUGUCUUUGUCCCCAAGCAGCACGGAAAAGGUGAUGCAGUGGGUCACGGCAGGUCGCCUCGGGCCGGUCAGGCGUGGCUGGAACAUUCUAGGAGGAGCUGCUUCUGCCGUGGGAAGUCCGACUGCCUCUGUGCUCCCCACAUGGACGCUCAGUUAGGGCUUGGAGAUGGGUCACUGCGGCAGUCUGAACUCCUGUAGCCUUGAUAUGUGCAAGAAUCAAGAGCUCCAUCCCUGGUGCUCUCCAUCCAUCACAAGGAGACUCGCUCGCCCGAGAAACAGCUGGAGAUUCCCAUCAGCCUGCGAGCUACCUCGUAUCUGAGCGCUGCUAAUGCUCACGGCUGUCGACCUUCAUGCCUCUUCCCGGCCGUCCGGCUAACGUCAUGCUGCUGGGCAGAACCCUUGAAAACCUGUAUCCCAAGUCGCACAAUAAUUUCCCAUGAGGAGGAAUAAGUUUAUGACAUUAGAUCCCAUAAAGGGAGGGUGUAGAGCAGUGGAAACGCCGCUCUUCGAUCAGCCGAGUGUAAAUUGCUACGACUUUCCAGAACCCUGUUCGGCCGUGUUUCUGACGUCUGACACUGUGCAUCCUGCGGCCCAGCCUCCUGGUUCUGAACACGUCAGAAGCGCCCGGAGCUCGCGUGAGGACACGCAGAACUGCCCUGCCCGUGACGCCCCGCCCUGCCUGCCUGGGUGACCGAGCGAGCGCGCUGCGCCUUCACCCUUGAGGGCAGUGACACACGCCCGUGCAACGCUGCACCGCAGAGCACGGAGGCCUCAGGAGCGUCCCGCCAGCCGACAACCCAGACCCAGCGUGUAACUGAGUGACAGACAGUUACGAUGUUUUCGAUGACCAAACAGGCUAAGGGCCACUGACUCUGGAAGGGGGCGAGGGCGUCUCCCGGGAACAUUCUAGAUCUGGCCCCGGACGGUGCCCACAGAUGUGCCUCCCUGUGACGUCUUCCAGCUGCACAUGUAAGACGUGAACUCGGGCUACGCUUCAGGGUGAAAGUUGACUUACAAAUGCACCGUCGUCGGGGCGCCGGGGGCUCCGUCCGUCAGUCGUCCAGCUCCUGGACUGGGCUCAGGUCACGAUCCGGGCGGUGGGACGGAGCCCGGCGCCCGGGCGGCUGCUGCGCCCCACGGGGAGCCUGCUUGAGGAUUCUCCCUCCUCCUCCCUCGUGUGCGCUCUCUCGAAUAAAUAAAAAAUUAAAUCUUU
rnacentral:lncRNA from 1 species